UACGGGGGGAGCAAGCGUUGUUCGGAUUCACUGGGCGUAAAGGGUGCGUAGGUGGUUGGGUAAGUCUGAUGUGAAAUCUCCGGGCUCAACCCGGAAAUGGCAUUGGAUACUAUUCGGCUAGAGGUUUGGAGGGGGGACUGGAAUUCUCGGUGUAGCAGUGAAAUGCGUAGAUAUCGAGAGGAACACCAGUGGCGAAGGCGGCUCACUGGCUCAUAUCUGACGCUCAGGCGCGACAGCGUGGGGAUCAAACAGG
rnacentral:rRNA from 1 species